rnacentral:rRNA from 1 species
UAUAAGUGAUGGCGACCGGCGCACGGGUGAGUAACACGUAUCCAACCUGCCGAUAACUCGGGGAUAGCCUCUCGAAAGAAAGAUUAAUACCCGAUGGUAUAAUAAAACCGCAUGGUUUAAUUAUUAAAGAAUUUCGGUUAUCGAUGGGGAUGCGUUCCAUUAGGCAGUUGGUGAGGUAACGGCUCACCAAACCUUCGAUGGAUAGGGGUUCUGAGAGGAAGGUCCCCCACAUUGGAACUGAGACACGGUCCAA